rnacentral:rRNA from 1 species
GAUGAACGCUGGCGGUAUGCCUAACACAUGCAAGUCGAACGGACUCUUCGGAGUUAGUGGCGGACGGGGGAGUAACGCGUGAGAAUCUGGCUUUGGGUUCGGGACAACCACUGGAAACGGUGGCUAAUACCGGAUGUGCCGAGAGGUAAAAGAGAAAUUGCCUGAAGAUGAGCUCGCGUCUGAUUAGCUAGUUGGUGAGGUAAAGGCUCACCAAGGCAGCGAUCAGUAGCUGGUCUGAGAGGAUGACCAGCCACACUGGGACUGAGACGCAGCCCAGACAACUACGGGAGGCAGGGGGGAAGAAUGAUCCGGAAUGGGCGAGUGCGUGACGAAGCAAUACCGCGUGAAAAAAGAAGGCACUUGGGUUGAAAACCUCUUUUCUUAGGGAAGAACAUAAUGACGGUACCUAAGGAAUCAGCAUCGGCUAACUCCGUG